rnacentral:lncRNA from 1 species
GCUGCGGGCCGCCCGCCCGGACGCAAGGCACAGGGGGACGCCCCGCCGAGCCGCUGCCCACUGCACCGAGUUUUUCGGAGGCUGGGAGAGGAAAUGCCACUUGGAUUUUAAAACCGUCACCGAUACGCUAUAGAGUGGGACAUUCCUGUGUGGAGCUCCGAGAAUACAUGCCGGCACUGCCUGUGCCUGGGGCUGUGCUGGCUCCCACCCAGCUGCAGGAAUGAGGGACCACGCCCUGCUUUCUCUACCUCCAGUCGUUUUCUGAGGACCGGCUUGGUGGGUGCUGAUGCCUGCCUGGAAGACCUCACACCCACAGUGUCUUAGAAGAUUCUGAAAGCAGUGUGAGACCAGAAUGACCAGCAAAGGAGAAAAGAACAAGGACACAUUGCAGCCAAAAUGGAGCUAGAAUCUUGCCUCUGUCCAUCCUUCACUGGAGUUAUCCUGGAUGGAGAAGGAACCAUAUCACCUGCAAAGCCUGGAAGGGGAGCCCUGCUGUGAGCGAUCCAGUGUUCAAGCUGGUCAUCAGGAGAAAGCUACUUAUGAUUUCCUAACAAGCCACCACAGAACAUCACAUUCCCAAACAUGCUCUUCACCGUCCCUGCUGUCCCCACGUGCCUAGCCCUGGUGUGGGCAGGAAUGAGUGGGAUUGGGAUGUUUUCUCACAGGUCUUUCUCAGGUGAGGCCCCAGGCUGUGACCAGGCCCCUGCCCUGCAUGUGACUCAGGCCUAGCCCCUGCUGGGGCAGGAAUGCCACCCAGCACAGCAUCCUACUGGUGCCUGAAUAAAGAAUGGACUGGAGGUUCACCUGAAAGGGGCUGCCAGGUUUCUGCGGGGGCCAGCCAACGGCUCACAAUGACCCUGUGUUCGACUCAUCUUACGAUGAAAUUUUUCAGCUUGACGAACUUUUACUCAUCUUUCAAGGCUCGGCUCAAAUGUUAUUUCCCUGGGAAAACUGCGCUACUUUCAGCAAAAUGCAUUUCCUUUUGAUGGGCAUCUGUUUUUUUCUUUCUUUCUUUCUUUCUUUUUUUUUUUUUUUUUUUUUUUUUUGAGACAGGGUCUUGCUCUCUUGUCCAGGCUGGAGUGCAGUGGUGCAAUCUUGGCUCACUGAACCUUCACAAUGGGCAUCUGUUUCUGUUCUAUGGAGUGACCUAAAAGUCAAGAAUCAUGGAGAAAUUGGGAGCAAUGGCUCACGCCUGUAAAUCCCAGCACUUUGGGAGGCUGAGGCAGGCGGAUCACUUGAGGCCAGGAGUUCGAGACCAGCCUGGCCAACAUGGUGAAACCCCGUCUCUACUAAAAAUACAAAAAAAAAAAAAUCUGUUAGCUGAGCACUGUGGCGUGCGCCUGUUAUCCCAGCUACUCGGGAGGUUGAGGCACAAGAAUUGCUUGAAGCUGGGAGGGGGAGGUUGCGGUGAGCCGAGAUCAAGCCACUGCACUCCAGCCUUGGUGACAGAGUGAAACUGUGUCUCAAAAAUUUUAAAAAAAAAAAAAUCAUGGGGAGAAUUUAUUGUUAAACAGAAUAUUAGUUACAUUUUCAAAUAAUACAGUCAAUAUGUUUUUCUGUAACCUUUAGAUAUGUUUUCAGGUGAAGUACCUCUAAAUGUAAAGAAAUGGGUCCAAUUGUUAAUUUUUUUUAAAGGUUCAAGAAAUACACUACUUUCUCUGGCUUUUUCCUUACAACUCUUUUUUUUUUUUUUUUUUUUUUGAGAUGAAGUCUUGCUCUGUCACCCAGGCUGGAGUGCAGUGGCAUGAUCUCAGCCCACUGCAACCUCCACCUCCCGGGUUCAAGCGAUUUUCCUGCCUCAGCCUCCUGAGUAGCUGGGAUUACAGGCACACGUCACCACACCCGGCUAAUUUUUGUAUUUUUAGUAGAGACAGGAUUUUGCCAUGUUGGCCAGGCUUGUCUCAAACUCCUGACUUCAGGUCAUCCGCCUGCCUUAGCCUCUCAAAGUGCUGGGAUUAUAGGCUUGAGCCACUGUGCCCUGGCCUCUUGUACCUUUUUUACAUUAACAACUGGACUCGCUUUAAAUGUAGAGAUACUUCCUGAAAUGGUGUGUGAAGGUUGAAGAAAAACAUGAGCAUAUUAUUUGAAAAUGUGGCUAAAGUUCUGUUUUAAAGUAAGUUUAUGGUAAUAUUUCUAACUUUUCAGAUGCUCUGUAGUUCUUGGCACAUUUUUCACUAAUAUUUGGUGACAGGUCUGUCCCCGUUAAAAAUUGAGAAUUCCACAAAGCCUGGGAUAUGUUUUAUUCUUCUUUGACUCUUCACUCCCCAGCUAACCACCAUGCAGUGGGCAAUCAUAAGGGUUUAAUGAAUGAAUAAAUGAUCAAGUCAGGUAGGUUUUCCCCGAAUUCUUGUCUUUGGGGCUGAACCCAGGGUAGGUUUCCUGGCAUCAUUCCUGUGUUUUCUACUCUCCCUCCCUAAUCCUCUGAAAGUUUGAACAAAAAUAAGAUUAUGGGCCAGGUGUGGUGGCUCACGCCUGUAAUCCCAGCACUUUGGGAGGCUGAGGUGGGAGGAUGGCUUGAGCCCAGGGGUUUGAGACUAGCCUGGGCAACAUGGCGAAAUCCCGUCUCUACAAAAAAUAGAAAAAUUAUCUGGGUGUGGUGGUGCGCACCUGUAGUCCCAGCUACUCGGGAAGCUGAGGUGGGAGGAUCACCUGAGCCCGAGGAGGUCCAGGCUGCAGUGAACCAAGAUCACAUCACUACACUCCAGCCUGAGUGACAGAGUGAGACCCUGUCUCAAAAAAUAAAAAUAAAAAUA